rnacentral:rRNA from 1 species
UACGUAGGGAGCAAGCGUUGUCCGGAAUCAUUGGGCGUAAAGCGCGCGUAGGCGGCCCGGUAAGUCCGCUGUGAAAGUCGGGGGCUCAACCCUCGAAUGCCGGUGGAUACUGUCGGGCUAGAGUGCGGAAGAGGCGAGUGGAAGUUCCUGGUGUAGCGGUGAAAUGACGCAGAGUAUCAGGAGGAACACCUAUUGCGAAGGCAGCUCGCUGGGACGUUACUGACGCUGAGACGCGAAAGCGUGGGGAGCAAACAGG